rnacentral:lncRNA from 1 species
GUCAGCAACUUCCAAACUGUGAUUAAGAUCGGAUGCCAUAUGCUCUACAGAUUCCAGUUGUUGCUUCCUGCUGGUAAGUUCCUCUCUAAGGGUUUCUACUUCUUGCCCCAGCAUUGCUUUCUCAUCCUGUAAUCGAUCAGCCAAGGUUCUCAAGUCUUCUGCAGUAUCCUCCAUCUCUUCAAUUCUUCUCACAGCAGUCUCUUUCUCCAUGAACAGGUUGUCUUUCUCUCUAGUCAUAUCUUCCAAUCUUGAACUUUGUACCAAAAUUGAUGAGGUAAGAGAUUUAUUUUCUUCCUCAGAAUGUGUCAAUUUUUGGCUUAAAUUUGACACUUGUUGCUCUGCAGAUUCUAGUUGCUGCUUAAUACUGGCAACUUCUGCUCUAAAAUUUUCUAGUUGUUGCCCAAGAAUUACCUUUUCUUUCUCAGCAACUUCCAAACUGUGAUUAAGAUCUGCUGCCAUCUGCUCUACAGAUUGCAGUUGUUGCUUCCUGCUGGUAAGUUCCUCUCCAAGGGUUUCUACUUCUUGCCCCAGCAUUGCUUUCUCAUCCUGUAAUCGAUCAGCCAAGGUUCUCAAGUCUUCAGCAGUCUUCUCUAUCUCUUCAAUUCUUCUCACAGCAGUCUCUUUCUCCAUGAGCAGGUUGUCUUUCUCUCUAGUCAUAUCUUCCAAUCUUGAAUUCUGUACCAAAAUUGACGAGGCAAGAGAUGUAUUUUCUUCCUCAGAAAGUGUCAACUUUUGGCUUAAAUCUGACACUUGCAGCUCUGCAUAUUCUAGUUGCUGCUUCAUACUGUUGACUUCUGCUCUAAAACUUUCUAGUUCUUGCCCGAGAACUGCCUUUUCUUUGUCAGCAACUUCCAAAGUGUGAUUAAGUUCGGAUACAAUGUGCUCUGUAGACUCCAGUUGGUGCCUCCUGCUGGUAAGUUCCUCUCUGAGGGUUUCUAUUUCUUGCCCCAGCAUUGUUUUCUCAUCCUGCAAUCGAUCAGCCAAAGUUCUCAAAUCUUCAGUAGUCUUCUCUAUCUCUUCAAUUCUUCUCACAGCAGUCUCUUUCUCCAUGAGCAGGUUGUCUCUCUCUGUAGUCAUAUCUUCCAAUCUUGAAUUCUGUACCAAAAUUGACGAGGCAAGAGAUUUAUUUUCUUCCUCAGAAUGUGUCAAUUUUUGGCUUAAAUCUGACACUUGUAGCACUGCAGAUUCUAGUUGCUGCUUAAUACUGGCAACUUCUGCACUAAAAUUUUCUAGUUCUUGCUUGAGAAUUUCCUUUUCUUUCUCAGCAACUUCCAAACUGUGAUUAAGUUCUGAUACCAUCUGCUCUGUAAAUUCCAGUUGCUGCUUCCUGCUGGUAAGUUCCUCCCCAAGAGCUCCUAUUUCUUGCCCCAGCAUUGUUUUCUCAUCCUGCAAUCGAUCAGCCAAAGAUCUUAAGUCUUCAGUAGUCUUCUCUAUCUCUUCAAUUCUUCUCACAGCAGUCUCUUUCUCCAUGAGCAGGUUGGCUUUCUCUCUAGUCAUAUCUUCCAAUCUUGAAUUCUGUACCGAAACUGAUGAGGUAAGAGAUUUAUUUUCUUCCUCAUAAUGUGUCAAUUUUUGGCUUAAAUCUGAAACUUGCAGCUCUGCACAUUCUAAUUGCUGCUUCAAACUGGUGACUUCUGCUCUAAAACUUUCUAGCUCUUGCCCAAGAACUACCUUUUCUUUGUCAGCAACUUCCAAAGUGUGAUUAAGUUCUGAUACCAUCUUCUCUGUAGAUCCCAGUUGCUGCUGCCUGCUUGUAAGUUCCUCUCUAAGGGUUUCUAUUUCUUGCCUGAGCAUUGUUUUCUCAUCCUGCAAUUGAUCAGCCAAAGUUCUUAAGUCUUCAAUAGUCCUCUCUAUCUCUUCAAUUCUUCUCACAGCAGUCUCUUUCUCCAUGAGCAGGUUGUUUUUCUCUCUAGCCAUAUCUUCCAAUCUUGAAUUCUGUACCAAAACUGAAGAGGUAAGAGAUUUAUUUUCUUCCUCAGAAUGUGUCAAUUUUUGGCUUAUAUCUGACACUUGCAGCUCUGCAGAUUCUAGUUGCUGCUUCAUACUGGCGAUUUCUGCUCUCAAACCUUCUAGUUCUUGCCCGAGAACUUCCUUUUCUUUCUCAGCAACUUCCAAAGUGUGAUUAAGUUCUGAUACCAUCUGCUCUGUAGAUUCCAGUUGCUGCUUCCUGCUGGUAUGUUCCUCUCUAAGGGUUUCUAUUUCUUGCCCCAGCAUUGUUUUCUCAUCCUGCAAUCUAUCAGCCAAAGUUCUUAAGUCUUCAGUAGUCUUCUCUAUCUCUUCAAUUCUUCUCACAGCAGUCUCUUUCUCCCUGAGCAGGUUGUCUUUCUCUCUAGUCAUAUCUUCCAAUCUUGAAUUCUGUACCAAAAUUGAAGAAGUAAUAGAUCUAUUUUCUUCCUCAUAUUGAGUCAAUUUUUGGCUGAAAUCUGAUACUUGCUGCUCUGCAGAUUCUAAUUGCUGUUUC